CCACCAGCUGCCCCACCGCAGGACACACCUUCAUUUGGCCUUCUCCACACUCAGAAACCGAGCUCUGUAUGCAGCAGAAAACAGCUCAGCUCUCUCCACAUUGCAUGGACGCAGGUUUUUAGAACAGAAAAUCAUGGACUUGGAGAACAGACUUAUGGUUGCCAAGGGGAACUUCCUACCUACUUGGAGUGGUUUGCAGAUUCAGUCCCUGGCCUCACACAGUGGAUUAAGGAUCCAGCGUUGCUGUAAGC